CCUACGGGAGGCUGCAGUGAGGAAUAUUGGUCAAUGGGCGCGAGCCUGACCCAGCCAAGUAGCGUGAAGGAUGAAUGCCCUACGGGUUGUAAACUUCUUUUAUAAAGGAAUAUAGUGAGGCACGUGUGCCUUUUUGUCUGUACUUUAUGAAUAAGGAUCGGCUAACUCCGUGCCAGCAGCCGCGGUAAUACGGAGGAUCCGAGCGUUAUCCGGAAUUAUUGGGUUUAAAGGGAGCGUAGAUGGGUUGUUAAGUCAGUGGUGAAAUGUGGCGGAUCAACCGUAAAAUUGCAAUUGAUACUGGCAGUCGUGAGUACAGUGGAGGUAGGCGGAAUUCGUGGUGUGGCGGUGAAAU
rnacentral:rRNA from 1 species